rnacentral:rRNA from 1 species
AGAGUUUGAUCCUGGCUCAGGACGAACGCUGGCGGCGUGCUUAACACAUGCAAGUCGAACGAUGAACCGGUUUCGGCCGGGGAUUAGUGGCGAACGGGUGAGUAACACGUGGGCAAUCUGCCCUGCACUCUGGGAUAAGCCCGGGAAACUGGGUCUAAUACCGGAUACGACACUCCGAGGCAUCUUGGGGUGUGGAAAGUUCCGGCGGUGCAGGAUGAGCCCGCGGCCUAUCAGCUUGUUGGUGGGGUAAUGGCCUACCAAGGCGACGACGGGUAGCCGGCCUGAGAGGGUGACCGGCCACACUGGGACUGAGACACGGCCCAGACUCCUACGGGAGGCAGCAGUGGGGAAUAUUGCACAAUGGGCGAAAGCCUGAUGCAGCGACGCCGCGUGAGGGAUGACGGCCUUCGGGUUGUAAACCUCUUUCAGCAGGGAAGAAGCGAAAGUGACGGUACCUGCAGAA